rfam:Solanum tuberosum cultivar DM 1-3 516 R44 scf00618_1, whole genome shotgun sequence.
AGAGCAUUGAGAAAACAUUUCCCUAGUCCGAGAGGACCAGGAAGGACGCACCUUUGGUGUACCAGUUAUCAUGCCCACGAUAAACGUUGGGUAACCAAGUGCGGAGCGGAUAACUGCUGAAAGCAUCUAAGUAGUAAGCUCACCCUAAGAUGAGUGCCCU